UACAGAGGUGUCAAACGUUGUCCGGAAUUAUUGGGCGUAAAGGGCGCGUAGGCGGUUGGAUAAGUCAGCUGUGAAAUCACUGGGCUCAACCCAGUAAUUGCAUUUGAUACUGUCUAGCUUGAGUUGGGUAGAGGAGGGCGGAAUUCCCGGUGUAGCGGUGAAAUGCGUAGAUAUCAGGAGGAACACCAAUAGCGAAGGCAGCUCGCUGGGACGGUACUGACGCUAAGGUGCGAAAGCGUGGGGAGCGAACAGG
rnacentral:rRNA from 1 species